rnacentral:rRNA from 1 species
GACAGAGGGUGCAAACGUUGUUCGGAAUUAUUGGGCGUAAAGGGCUCGUAGGCGGUUUGUCGCGUCGGGAGUGAAAACCUCGGGCUUAACUCGGGGCUUGCUUUCGAUACGGGCAGACUGGAGGUAUGCAGGGGAGAACGGAAUUCCUGGUGUAGCGGUGAAAUGCGCAGAUAUCAGGAGGAACACCGGUGGCGAAGGCGGGUCUCUGGGCCGUAACUGACGCUGAGGAGCGAAAGCGUGGGGAGCGAACAGG